UACAUAGGCCCCAAGCGUUAUCCGGAAUUACUGGGCGUAAAGCGUUUGUAGGUGGUAUGAUAAGUCUCGUGUGAAAGGCCAGGGCUCAACCCUGUCUUGCACGGGAAACUAUCACACUCGAGUACGGGAGAGGUAAGCAGAACGGUAUGAGUAGGGGUGCAAUCCGUUGAUACAUACCAGAAUACCAAAAGCGAAGGCAGCUUACUGGAACGUUACUGACACUGAGAAACGAAAGCGUGAGGAGCAAAAGGG
rnacentral:rRNA from 1 species